ACUCCUGCGGGAGGCAGCAGUGGGGAAUUUUGGACAAUGGGCGAAAGCCUGAUCCAGCAAUGCCGCGUGUGUGAAGAAGGCCUUCGGGUUGUAAAGCACUUUUGUCCGGAAAGAAAUCCUUGGCUCUAAUACAGUCGGGGGAUGACGGUACCGGAAGAAUAAGCACCGGCUAACUACGUGCCAGCAGCCGCGGUAAUACGUAGGGUGCGAGCGUUAAUCGGAAUUACUGGGCGUAAAGCGUGCGCAGGCGGUUUACUAAGACCGAUGUGAAAUCCCCGGGCUCAACCUGGGAACUGCAUUGGUGACUGGCAGGCUAGAGUAUGGCAGAGGGGGGUAGAAUUCCACGUGUAGCAGUGAAAUGCGUAGAGAUGUGGAGGAAUACCGAUGGCGAAGGCAGCCCCCUGGGCCAAUACUGACGCUCAUGCACGAAAGCGUGGGGAGCAAACAGGAUUAGAUACCCCGGUAGUCC
rnacentral:rRNA from 1 species